AAAAUAAGAAUGAACAAGUAUGCAAAGCUAGACAGCAGCGAACGUUGGAUUAUUGACCCUUAACAACGUUCAACGAGUUUAACGACACCGCGAGAAGCGAGCCGACAAUUAUGUCUCCUUUUUCAGGCAUUAAAACGUUUCGUUUGCGAAGCGUCGCCUUUCCGUAUGGCCAAGGGCAGUCACCGUUCGCCUGUGCCGUUUGAAUGAUAAUCAGCUGUCUUUGUCUCGUUCGUUCUUCGCGCCAUUACAAUGGCGAGUGGUGGGGAUAGGGCACAGUCACGCGACCUACGGGUGCGUUUCCAUUAAUUCUCUGCGAACGUUGUCCUCACGAGUCCUGAAUUUCGCGUUUGCCUUAAGCAAAAUCCACUAGUAAGUUGGUACUUUUUUCUCGAAUUGCUUCUCGCCCGUGUUAGGAGUUCGUAAAUCGAUCGAGCCUGGGAAUCGAAUUCGUUUCUUUGCACGCUCUGGCGAGCACAAGAACGUAGUCAAGGUGUUGCUUCAUACAUAUGUGAAAAAAAAAAGAAACAUAUGUGGGUUCAGAGUGAUUUUAUAAUCUUGAUUGAUUGAUUUGCGAGCUCGAACGAUAUGAUGGAUCGUUCAAUCGUGUUAUGGAGAUAUUGGACGAGGAAUGGAGGUUAAAUGAAAUGAUAAAUUUUAUAAAGAAUUCGUGGAAAGCAUGUUAAUCGUACAUGAUUAAAGCAGUGAAUAUAUUAAUUACGAAUGAUAUCGAGUUGAAUCCAUUAUACUUUCAACCGAGUUAAGUGAAAACAAGAUAUAAAAGUUCGAAAGUGCAUCGUUUUUCAUAAAUCAUAAUGCAAUAUUCGUAGAAGAACGAGAUUCGAGAAGUUUUCUUCUUUUUCAUUGCAUUGAUCGCAUCUUAUAAACUUCUGUUGUUCGCAACUAGUUCAUCGAUACAACCUGUAAUCGCAGAAUCGUGUGUGCUCAUUUGCCUUGGAGGAAUACGUGCGCUACUAAUUAAAUCAGGCUAAACCGACUGAAGUCGGUUCUAAGAUAAUAUCAAAAUGACUUCUCUGCGCAUUAACUAGCUCGAUGGAACUCGCGAUGAAUGAAGCAUAAAUCAAAGUGAAACGAAGAGAAAUAGAUUAUCGGAAGUCGAAGACUGACUAUUGAUUUCUGGGGAGACCAGGAAGUUUAUUCAUGGAAGAACAAGAAGCUUCUUCUUCAUUUAUGUUCAUCCUUCAGUUCCACAAAUAUUCCACUAGUAAAUAAUUCAACGUAACUCGCACAACAUGCAAUCUCGAUCAUAUUUACGAUCACGCGAGCGAAUCGAAACGUAGAAAUUAUCAUGUUCGUGGUAUCGUAUUGAAAGUCCAAAGAAAAGAGAGGAGAGCUCCUAUUUCCAAGAGACAGUUCUUCGUCGGUUAAUCGAGCGUGCGCUCGAAUUCAACUCGACAUGACAUAACGAUUCGCCGCCAAUUGAUUAAACUUAACGACGAUUAAGAAAAGGCAAAAUGUUGACAUAAAUUUCUAUUAAAGGGUCAUGGGACCGUGUGUAACUGCCGUCGCCGAGAAGCAUCCAUGUUGGAUUUAUAUUCACUUUAAGGGACAAAUAGAAAAGCACAUGUGAAAGAUGGUACAACAGAGUGGAAUAUUAUAGAAAGAAGUUUGGAGGAAGGAAAGACACGAUUUGCAAACUCGGAUUUUUCUCAAGGACGUUGCAAGACGAACGAUACCGGUGUGUUUCGAUCUUCAAGAGAUAGGUACUUACGUACAUACGUACAAUAAUUCCCUAUAUCCAAGUUAUGCAUGCGGUUUACCUUGUGACAUCUCUUGGCUGCUGCCACGCGCCUUUCUAAUGCGAAUCUCGAACACGACGUAACUGCCUCGACUUAUCUAUCUACAGGGUGUUCCAAACGUAAAAAAUUCAAAUUUUUCGUGAUAAAUUUGUCAUUUCUUAUUGUACGAUUAAUCUGACAUUUAUUAAAUGUUAAAAUUCGUAUUGAAAUUAUAUGUUAAAUCUCUUUAGAGAUGAAAAAUUGAUUCAUUUGUAUUUAUUUUGAAUUUUAUGUAUAUCUUUUUACAUAUAUAUUUGUGUUGUAAAAGUUGUAUCUUUCAGGUUAGAAAUUGUAGAGUUUGAAUUAGAAUUACUAAUAAUAUAUUAAUUUAUGGCAAGGAUAAAUCAUUCUUUUACACACUCUGAGUCAUUGUCAUCUAUUAAAAUGCAAGAUUAUGAUUUAUCUACUAUUUUUGCAGGAAGAUAAUAUUAAUUUAUCAUAAUAAUAACUUUUCUUUAUACUAUUUUAUAAUUCAAGAUCUAUAUAACUGCUAUUACUUACAAGUUUAAUAUUCCAUAAAUUUCACUUUCACAAAUUAUCAGAUAAUCUAUAAUUCAAAUAGCUUAUAUUAAUAAGCUUAAUGUAAAUUUAUAAAUUAUUUUUAAUUAAGUGAAAAAAAGAGGCAUCUCUAUCUUAUUUAUCUUUUUGUUAAUAAAACUACACCAACGCAAAAAAAUUAUGAUCUCUAAUCAUAGAAAAUUAACAUAUUCAAAUGUUUCUCUCACACAUGUCGAUAAGUGAAACACGGAAAUCUCAGAUUAGAAAAAAAUCUCUCGAAGGAAAUAUGAAGAAACCGAAUGCAAUAUAUAUAUAUAUUUAUCUUUUCUCGACGUAACAAAAUCGUGGAACGAUCAAAAAUACAGAUUUUUUGUGCUUCAUGCUAAUUGGAGAAUUAUUCAAGGAUUCGAAUCACACAACAGUUUGAAAGCAGAGACUUUGGUGCUAGCUUUCACCCUCGUUUGGUGAAACUUCUUUAUAGAAUACUAAUGAGAUGUUAGAAUUCAAAUAAUCUUCAUUGAUAUUGAAGUGCAUUAACAUUCUAAAUCUAUUGAUAAUUCAAUUCUCAAUUACAAUAAUUGCCAUACAAGAAAGUAUACCUAUAGAUACUUAUUUUUCUAUUGAA
rnacentral:lncRNA from 1 species